UCCUGCCUGGCGCUGGCCGUGCCUCGGCCCUGACCCGGAGCUGUGCGAGCCGGGGCUGCGUCCGCGCGCGGUGCCGCUUCAGAGCGGGAAGGCCUGAAGCCAGUGCCAGGCGGGCCAGGGCCCUGUGCCUUUGCAGCCUCUCAUGAUUCCUCCAGCAGCUCCAUUAGGGACUGGUGAGCGGCCACCUCCUGUCCCAGAGGAGGGGCUGCGAUCAGAGAGGAGGCUCGUCUGAGGCUUCUCAGGCGAAGGCGCGCAGCCUGCGCGGGGGCCCAGACCUCCGAUGGUGGAUCUCAGACUUUUACGCUUUGUGCUGACCUGGCUGCUCUGCUAAGCUUCCUGGCAGUAGGCACAGCUGGCUGCCAGCGCCUCCUUACCCAGCUCACUGCCGCCUCAUCCCCGGCAGGUAGAUCCUCCACCUGAAGCGGAGCCCCUCCCCACUCUGAAGGUGCCCGGCAUCCACGAGCUCUGCCCCAGGAGUCUGGAGAUCCCAUCCACGUUAACACCCACCUGGUACACGGGACCACUUUGCUUCAGGUGUUAGGAAGGACACUCUUGGUCCAGCAUCUGAGAAGAGGGUGUGAAAAAUCAGGUGGUUCCGGGAUGGUGGGUGUGUUGGACAGGGUCACCCAUGCUAGUGGCGCAAGGCCGAGAGGUGUGAGUGAGGGCAUCCCAGGGUGUUCACACACACACAAACACACACACACACACACACACACACACACACACACACGGACUGUGUUGAAGAAAGGCUGCCUGCCUCUCCCAUCUGCACCCACCUGCUUCCUGGGGGACACCGGGGGGCAUUUUGUUUUCCACGUGGCUUUCCAGGUUGGUAUACGAAGGCCACGUGAUGCUGGACAUUGGCAGUAGAUAGGACACAAGGCCUCAGCCUGGGUCAGCUCGAGGCCCAGCACGGCGGCGCCCCUGCAGCAAUCCAGAUUUUCCAGCCUCCAAACGUACCUCAGAGAGGAAGCUGCACAUUUGAUUUUUUUUUUUUGGCUCCAUAUUAAAGAACAAAGCAUGGGAACUGGACAGGCCCGUCUGUAAACAGAAAACACAUGUUUUCUGAGAGGAUGGGCUCUUCCUUUCCUGGUUUCUUCUCCCAUGGACAAAGGCCUUCUUAGCCCUCCUGGCUUCAAGAGCAGGGAGGCCCCUGGCCCAGGGCUGAGAACAGGUGAUUAUUUUGUGCCUGCACUCAGGGCGCAGCUCCCACAUGCUUAAAUGGGGACAGGAACAGGGUGUUAAGGGGUCCACUCAGCAAUGGGGCAAGACUAGGGUGUGGUCCCAGGAAGGAAGCCCCUCAGGAACCUGAACAGGAUUUGGGAGGGGAAAAGGAGAGGGAAUCUGGAGCAUUUGUAUCUUACAAGCACUUGAGAAUCAUCUUGGGUUCUGCUUGAGCUAGCCUCAGAUGAAUUGUGUUUUGUGGGGGCCUACUAGCCACACACAGGGGCAGAGACCUCUCUAACUCAGAAGAGAGGCUGGGGCCUGAUGUCUGCAAAGAGUAGGCACACUGAGACUGAGUGCACACUGCUAUGUGACCUCAAGCAAGUUUCUUACCCUCUCUGAGCCUUAGUUUUUUCAUCUGUAGAAUGGGGAUAACAAUAUUUGGUUGUUGAGGAUUAAAUAAGAUAAUAAGUAUAGCCCUGUCAGACACAGAACCAAUUAAUAAGUGAAAGAAAUCAAAGUAUGUCUCAGUUUCGGUGGUGAGCUGUUUCCACAGCUCCCAGAGUGGCCUGAGAACCCUCUACAAAUACCCAGGAUUCCUGUACUUCACAGAGCACCUCCACAUACCCCGUCCUCCGCCCAGCACUGUAUGAGCACCAGGGCUCAGCUACCCCCAGACCAGCUGCGACACCUCUUUGGAAGCAGUCAUCUCGGGAAUGGAUCAUUCUUUUGAAUCACCCCAGCAGCCUGAUCUUUGUCCUCGGAGGAGUUUUGAUUUUGGGAAAUAACCAGAUGUCCUUUGGGCCAAGUUGGCUAGUAGAUGUGCGGAAGCCAAGCCAGGGCCCCCAUCCAGUGCCAGAAUGUGCCAUGACUGCAGAGUCAGGAGACCUGUGGCUCCCAGCUCUGAAGGCAGUUUGGAAGGAGGACCUGGACCGGGUCGUCUGGACUGGCCGCCGCUGGUGUGGGUGGGCGUGAGUGUGCCAACGUGCGGGUGUCUGAAAACGGAGACAGUCACACACAGCCAGGCGCAGUGGACGGACCAAACCAAAGCCAGACUAAUUAGCACGAGGCUGCCUUUCAUCUCUCAGCUUGCAAUUUGAUUUUCAUGGAACUCUUUGUGGGAAAAUUCUGAGCAUUUCUGACACAGGCAGAUGCGUGAGAGUGAGGCAGGAAGUGGUCCUGGAAGAGUAUAGGGCUCAGAGGUUGGGAUUUCCUCCCAGCUCUGUACUUAACCAGCUCCGUGGCCUCUGGCUGGUCAUUUCAUCUCUCCAGCCCUUGGUUUUCCCGUCUGAACAAUGGGGAUCGUGAUGCCUGUCAUUAGUACGACAAGUAAAUGGUUGGGGGGGGUGGGGAAUGGAUAAGAACAUGCCUAAAAGUCCUGACCUCGUGUGGCGAGGGCCUUAAGAGUAUGGACCCCAUUUGACCUAACACUCCUGCUUCUGGGAAUUUAUCUUCAGGAAAGCAGCAUAGCCACAUGUGAAACUGUCAGUAUAAAGAUGUUCCAGCAGCAUUUUUUUUUCUUUUCUUUUUUUUUUUUUGCUGAGAAGCAUGCAGGAUCUUAGUUCCCCGACCAGGGAUCAAGCCCAUCCCUGCUGCAGUGGAAGCGUGGAGUCCUAACCACUGGACCACCAGGGAAGUCCCCCCAGCAGCAUUGUUUGUAAUAGCAAAAACUUUAAAGAAACUACAUGUCCAACAAUAGUGGCAAAAAUUAUAGGAUGGACUACUGUGCAGCUCUCCCAGUGCUCCAUGCAAGAAGUACACAGGCUACAUCCACAUGAUGGGUACUUAACCUGUGCCAGUGACAUUGUUAAAAAAAGAAAAAAAUUAGCAUUCACAAAGUUCUAUUCACAAUAGCCAAAACAUCAGAAACAACUCAGUUGUCCACCAACAGCUGAACAGGUAAACAAGCUGUGAUAGGCAUACAGUGGGAUAAUAUAAAACAGUAAAGAGGAGUGAGCUGUCAGUGGACAUAUUGAUGGACAUAGAUGAACGUCAGCUAUGCUGAGAGAGUCCACACUCUGUGAUCCCAUUUAUAUUAAAUUAAAGUAAAACAUCACAGACAUAUAUAUACUACCAACUGUAGAUAGCCAGUGGGAAGUUGUUGUAUAACAAAGGGAGUUCAACUCGAGGAUGGAAGAUGCCUUAGAGGACUGGGACCAGGAGGGUGGGGGGGACUUGAGGGAGGGAGGGAAUAUGGGGAUAUGUGUAUAAAAACAGAUAAUUGAACUUGGUGUACCCCCAAAAAAUAAUAAAUUAAUUAAAAAAAAAAGUAAAACAUCUAUAGCGGUAGGAUUCAGAUCUGUGCUUGCCUGGGGCCAAGGAGGCUAAGAUUGCCUGCCAGGGGACAUUUUGUGGUGAUGGUAUUUUCUUUCUUGAUUGUAAUGGUGGUUACAGGGGUGAAUACAUUUGUCAAAACUCAUUGAACAGUAAAGUGAAAGGGAUCUUAUUGCAUGGAAAUUAUACCUCAGGAAAGCUGAUUUUUCAAAUUAAUGGUAUUUAAGAUUUUAUUUUUCAAAUCUCGGAAAGAAUAAAAUUUAAUCACAUAAAAUGCUCAAAACAUAUUAAACAAAAAGAUUGUGAAAUAACCUAUAGUGUGAUCUCACACACACACACACACACACACACACACACACACACACACAGAGAGACACACAGAGUACAGAUACGUAUAUGGUUUGGAAAUAUACCAAAAUGACUUUCAUCAAAAUGUACCUGGUAAUUAUCUCAUGGGUAAUUUUUGUUUUCUUUUUUGUGCUUUUCUAUAUUUCUAAAUUUUCUAUAAUAAACACUUUUAUUUUAUAAACAAAUUAAAUCAAAACAAACAGAUCUCCUUUCCUUUCUUCCAGCUGUAGCCGGCCAGGGACGCAGGACUAGGCUCCGGACAAUGCCCGGGUCCAGCGAAAGGGAACUGCCUGGAAGGCGGGAGCAGACGAUGGGCGUGUGAGAUCACCCCACCGGUGGGAGCUGUCACCCCUGCACACGAGAGUCGAGGCCCUGAGUCGGUACACAGCACCCACCUGGCAGAGCUGGGGGCUGAACGUGGAUGAUUCCAAUCUCAGAGCUGUGCUAUUUCCAUAACAACUUCCUGCCUCUUCAAGGACCCUGUUAACCAACAGCCAAAGUAGGCAACAGCCCAGGAUCCAGGGCAAAAUGAAAAUGUGGGACCCCCUAGAUUAAGAAGUUUUUAAAAAACAAGGUCCUACUGUAGAGCAC